AACAUGUCCGUGUGAAUUGGAUAUUCGGUCUGACCUGCUCACUGAGAUUUUAAAGGGCUGCGGUAAUUUGACCGUGCAAAGGUAGCAUAAUCAAUAGUCUUUUAAUUGGAGACUGGAAUGAAAGGUUUGACGGAGGAAAAGCUGUCUUCUUUGUUUAUAUUGAACUUAACUUUUGUGUGAAAAGGCAUUCAUGGUUUAGAGGGACGAUAAGACCCUAUAAAAUUUUACAUGUUAUAUUGUUUAGCUAAAUUGUUUAGUUAAUGGUUAAGUGAUUGGUUGUGUUUUGCUGGGGCGGUAGAGAUAUAUAUUAACUGUUUUAUAAUUAAAAUAUUUAUUAAUAGAAGGUGGUCCUUGAUUCUGGAGUUGAGAGUAAGUUACUUUAGGGAUAACAGCAUGAUUUCUUUUGAGAGUUCUUAUCGAAGGAGGUAGUUGUGACCUCGAUGUUGAAUUAAAUUUUCUUUUAGGUGUAGGCGUUUGAUAAGAAGGGCCUGUUCGGCCUCUGAGUAUUUACAUGAUUUGAGUUCAAACCGG
rnacentral:rRNA from 1 species